GAUGAACGCUGGCGGCGUGCCUAAUACAUGCAAGUCGAGCGAACAGACGAGGAGCUUGCUCCUCUGACGUUAGCGGCGGACGGGUGAGUAACACGUGGAUAACCUACCUAUAAGACUGGGAUAACUUCGGGAAACCGGAGCUAAUACCGGAUAACAUGUUGAACCGCAUGGUUCAACAGUGAAAGACGGUUUUGCUGCCACUUAUAGAUGGAUCCGCGUCGCAUUAGCUAGUUGGUAAGGUAACGGCUUACCAAGGCAACGAUGCGUAGCCGACCUGAGAGGGUGAUCGGCCACACUGGAACUGAGACACGGUCCAGACUCCUACGGGAGGCAGCAGUAGGGAAUCUUCCGCAAUGGGCGAAAGCCUGACGGAGCAACGCCGCGUGAGUGAAGAAGGUCUUCGGAUCGUAAAACUCUGUUAUUAGGGAAGAACAAAUGUGUAAGUAACUAUGCACGUCUUGACGGUACCUAAUCAGAAAGCCACGGCUAACUACGUG
rnacentral:rRNA from 1 species